GGAGGGUCACUCUUUCUAACUCAAUUCCCCGCGUGGUGUAUUUCUACAGAGUCAGUGGUGGAGAGCAUGAGCAGCCGCCAGGAUGAGGAGGCUGCAGCAACCCUCGAUGAUGUUGUGGAGGCCGGCGGGAGUGAGAAGACGGAGGAAGAGGCCCUGGCUGGGGCAAAUGAGGAGGAGGUGGGGCCGGGAACUGAGAAGGUGCAGGAGGAGGCUGCCUGCAUUGACGAGGCAGAGGAGGAGGCAGGCCCAUCCCUUGAAAAUGACGAGGAGUCCCCAGCCAGCGACCUGGUUGAGCAGGAAGACCAGCUUGCCCCCAAGGUGGACGGGAUGGACGAUGAAAGCCUAUGUUUCAUGGAGAGUCUGAGUGACAGCAACCAUGAUGAAAGUGAUACAGACUCAGUGGUGGAGAGCCUGAGCAGCCGCCAGGAUGAGGAGGCUGCAGACUCCUCUGGGACACCUUGAAGCCUCAGCCUGGGACUGGAAGAGUCCAAAAGUUUCCAUCUUGACCAGGAUACAAGAUUGACCUCACUCUUCAUCUAUUACGAGCCAACUUUAGUAUAAGCUUAGUUCUUUAUUGUCUAGAUUUAGUAUUAAGUUCUGAUACAUGUUUACUACUUGGUAUAUAAGAUUUUGGUAGAAUGUAAGAUUGUGUAUUAAAUAAUUGUUACCUAUCCAUUUGCUUUUUUUAAAACUAGUUUUCGAUAAAAUAAACACAGGUAUAGGAAAGCCCCCUUAAGCAGAGGUAGAACUUAAUGCACUGGAGUCAGGCAGUCACCCUAGUGUCCACCCCCUGUCCUGUCACCCGCAUCAGUCCUGACUGAAGAAGGGGACUGUGGAUUUAGUCCUGACCAACUGCCCUCAAGCCAGUUUCUUUCCAAGGAUUCUGUGGCCUCAUGUCGGUUUGUACCUUUGACCAUGGGAACUCUGUCACGCUCCCUCUUUCAGGAUGACAUGGUUGGCCGAGCCUUGCAUGCCCAGACCCUGGCUGCUGGAACAUCCAUAUCUCACCUUUUCCCUCCUCAUGUCUCUGACAUGUUUCUUUAUAUCCCAUGCCUGGAGUUGGUAUUUUUAAAACAUGUAGAGUGACACCGAAUGAGACACAGAUAAAAACUGUAAAAGUAAUUUUAAUAAAGUACACUUUGAUUGCAAAG
rnacentral:lncRNA from 9 species